rnacentral:rRNA from 1 species
UACGUAGGGUCCGAGCGUUGUCCGGAAUUACUGGGCGUAAAGAGCUCGUAGGUGGUUUGUCGCGUUGUUCGUGAAAACUCACAGCUUAACUGUGGGCGUGCGGGCGAUACGGGCAGACUUGAGUACUGCAGGGGAGACUGGAAUUCCUGGUGUAGCGGUGGAAUGCGCAGAUAUCAGGAGGAACACCGGUGGCGAAGGCGGGUCUCUGGGCAGUAACUGACGCUGAGGAGCGAAAGCGUGGGGAGCGAACAGGA